ACAACUAAGUACAUAAAUUUUUGCCGUUUUAUUUCAUCUUCAAGGCGUACAUCAAAGUGAUGCAAAGUGGUGUACCUGGUAUUGGAAUACAAAGAAGAUGAAGAUCAGUAGGAAGCAAUGCCAGCACACACACACAGCAACAACAGUUCAGCAACACAGGAGUAACCCAGUAAUAGCGGGAAUAACAAAAAACCUAGGAGACAGACCAAUAAAGAAGUAUCCAGUUGCCAAAAUGAACAAUAGUAAUUGAUGCUAAUUAUUAACAGUGAAAAAGAACAUAUUGUUUCUUUAACUUCUCUUUCAAACACUCAACAAUUCAGUCUUUUUCUUUCUUCCCUCAAGUGCUGAAAAUAUUUUC
rnacentral:lncRNA from 1 species